rnacentral:rRNA from 1 species
UACGGAGGAUGCAAGCGUUAUCCGGAUUUAUUGGGUUUAAAGGGUGCGCAGGUUGUUUGAUAAGUUAGUGGUGAAAGUCUGUCGCUUAACGGUAGGAUUGCCAUUGAUACUGUUGGACUUGAAUAUGGAUGAGGUAGGCGGAAUGUGUAGUGUAGUGGUGAAAUGCAUAGAUAUCACACAGAACACCGAUUGCGAAGGCAGCUUACUAAUCCAUCAUUGACGCUGAGGCACGAAAGCGUGGGGAUCAAACAGGA